GUAGUAUCUCUUUUGAACUCUCUUCUCUUAAUGCAGAUCACAAUUCACCUUCUCAGCCCAAGGAAAAUAGCCUUGGCCAGAACCAUCACCCGGAGGAAACAAUCCACAAGUUGGCCAUGCAGCUGAAGAACAUUGGAGACAGCGUUGAUCACUGGACGGCUCAAGAGAACGCUCAGCGGGAAGGCAGAGAGGCACUGGCUCAGUUUGUCGUGGUUUUCCAUGCGGGAGGUCACGCACUGCUGCGCUUCCUCUGGAACAACCACUGGAUGUAAGAGGAACAGACAUCCGAGCUCUGCCGUCCCCCUGCGCCGAGAACCAGUCCCUGCACAGGUGGGAAGAAGGCCCUCCUCCGCUCCCUGUUUUCACUGUCACUGUUGGUUUAUGCGGCUUCGUUGGAGAGCUGCAGGCUCACUGACCAUUUGUCUGUUCAGAGCAGCCGCUGUGCCAUGUCUGCGAGUGCCCCACCUCAUGGUAGAGCUGCAGGCGCGCUCAGGAGGCGCUGCCAGGGUCCCCGGGGCAUCUGCUUCCCUGGGGGAACCUGAGCCUCGUCCUCAAACCAGAGGUCACAGCAAUGGACGCUUCUCCUGGGCCCUCCCUGGGCGCCCAGCCACCUGUUGGCCCCACUCCGGGUGCCCAUGUCCAGAUCCGCAGCGCCCGUUCUUCUCAUUCCUUUCUGUCCACCCAUGUUCCCUGUCUUCCCCUUCUAGGAGCAUUACAGGUGUUAAGGAAGUUUGUUGUUAUAAAUUAUAAGUUCUGUAUAUGGUUGAGUUAUUUGUUAUUUAAAAAUGAAAUAAAUAUUGUUGUUUUAUUGAGCAUGAAA